CCAACCAACGUUUCGCCACCUAAGAUAAGACCGGGAUUACAGUAAAUACUGUGUAAUGCACCGAGAGGAGCUGGAGGAGAGCUACAGCAAGAGGAUCCCACACACACACGCACACACACGGACAUAUACACCUGUUUUUUAAUCAUUAUAAUCUACAGCUGGUGACAGUCUGGAGCCCCCUAAAUUGAUCAUUCUG